rnacentral:lncRNA from 1 species
CGAAUGCUGCCAUGAACACCGAAACAUUGAUUUAUGAUAUGAGUAAGGUCACCCCAAAUGCUCGGGCAGCUGAAGCCCUUCUCUUUCCAAUGUUCAGAUGGGGCCAUGCUUGAAUGGCAGGUGUGUAACUCCCAGCAACCCACAGGAUUUGGCCUUCCUGCGAAUGGACUGCGCAUGGGAUAGUUUGUGUCUUGCUCAGAAGGCUGGGACUGGCCCUGCUGCUUGUUUGAAAACCAAUGGCUCUCACAUAUUUGUUGAUUUUAUUGGUACUCUGGGUUCUGCCUUUGCAAAUUGCUGAGCAGCUUUGUGGAGCUGAUGUGUGCCUUCAGCUCUCGCUGCUGUUAAUUGCUGGUCCUUUGAUAAUGAGUAUCUACAACAUGAAUUGGCCAUCUGCUAAACACUGCCCCAUUACAUUUGUGCCAAAUCCCUGCAUCCUUAUUUGUCCAAACUUGCCUUUGAGGGGGAAAUGAGUUUUCCUGCAAAAUACUUCUUGGCUGUUUCUUUUGUUUUUAGGGCUGUGUCAAUAUUUGGCUUAUGUCCUCUGGGGGAGAACUCCCAAGACACAAAAACAGAACAGAAAAUAGCUCCGGAGACUGCAUCUUCCUGUGAGCACAUCUUUUAUUAAAUUUCCUUCUCUUUCUCUCCUUCUUUGUAGUGGAAUUAUUAUGACUCCAUUAGAGCAGUGAUUUCCACCUCCAGCCAUGACUCGACAGCUUUAGUAAUAGGUAACAAUUCUGCUAAUCUUUAAAAGCAGCAGGACCUUUGCUCAAGAUAACGUGCAUCCAAUCUACCCUCCCUGUUUCCAGGCCUGCAGCCAUUCCGUGCUGCUGCGGCUCCACCAGCAGCAGUGGCAGUAGCCUGAAGUCUGAAAGUGUCCUUUGAUGGUGGAAGCAGAAGCAGCAUUCACUUUGUCGUGUUCUUUUUUUUCUUUUUCUUUUUCUUUUUUUUGCUGUUUGAAGGAUUCCACACAGUACGAGCACAGCUGGGUUCUCUACAAGGGAGAAGGGGAUUUUAGAAACACAUCGAGGCUGAGUUGAGAGGGCAUUAGCACUGUUGUACCGGACUGGUUUACUGACUGCUCUGGCCAAUGCUGGCAGCUAACCCAGCUAAAAGGGUUGUGAGGAACCUGUGCUGCUGUGUGCCCUGCUCCUGUCAGCCAGACCUGCAUCCUCGGCCGUUCUCCAGCCACUUUAUUUCCUCCUGACUGCACGCUGGCACUGGAAACUUGGAGAAAUCACAGAAAUGUAGGAGUUUUUUUUUUUCUCAAACUGCCAACUGGUUCUUUUUAUCUCACUGGAAAUCAUGCAAGACAAAGAUCUCAGACUGAUGAAUAACUGUAUGAUUUGUUCGCAUGUGGGUGACGUCGGGAACAGCGUGAAUCAAACAGUUUUCUAAAUGAUUUAGAUGCGUACAUCCAGGCUGGGGCUGAGGAACCAGAGAAUUCCUCUCAUAACCAAUCUGCAAGAACAAAACUUGCACGUUCAGUUUGCUUUCUUUCCAGUUCCUGGGGCCGUGGUGCAGGCACAGCUCUUGUUAGUGAAAGCCCGAAGUGCUCAGCAGCUCCAUGGCCCCAUUUCUGCAAAGCAGAAGCAGCUGCUAAACACUGAGCUCGGUGGGAGACAUGCAAAUGUGCUCCCUUGCUUUGAUAGAUUGAAGUCACAGGAAGGCUUCUAAAAUCUCCUUUGCUCUCGGGAAGUCAAUAGCAGAGCUCCUAUUGAUUUCAAUGAGAAGAAAACCCUUCAGAGGGAAAGUAAAUGACUACGGUUCACCUCUACAGAGAUCAGCGCUCUCACAGGUUUGAAACGUGAGAUGCUGAGCAUCUCUAGCAUCGCAGUGAGCUCUGUGUGACACCACACCGUGGUGUGCUUUAUCACCAACACAGACCUUCCUCCUGCCUGUCUUCAUCUGCCCCCAGGAGCAGAGCGGAGGAGUCACAUCUCCUCCAGGUCACCUUGGGUUUCCAUAGUGACUCUUUGAAUACAACUGUCUUAUCAAUCAGAGCCUCUGUAACUUUCAGAAGCAACUAUAGAAUCUCCUCUAGUUUCUAUAGCAACCAUCUUUAGACCCAUAUAUUUGCUUUCUCUUGUCUUAGCUGAAUUGUUGGAAAUAGAGCGAAUUAACCGCUGGUGCAAUAUUUCUUAUAUUCUUUUCCCUUAAGCUAUCCUAUACUGUCAGCCAGAACAACACUUCUGAUGAGGCCAUAGUCCUUUUGUUUUACUUACUAAGGGGUCCUCUUUGCCGCCUAGGCAGAAGAAUACCACGUCUUUUAAACCACCAUUUUCACAAGGAAUGUGAAAACUUGAAACCUGGAGAGCGUUUCCCUUCCAGUUCCAGCCCCCAUGUCGUUCUGUUCCCGUGCACUCAGAAGAACAAGUCGUGCUGCUUUGUUAUCCUAAAUCGCUUCUCGUGAGGAUAUGCCAGAGCAGGAAGCUCAGUGCAAAGUACAGCCAUCGCUUAACUGCAAUGCUGCGACUUAGUCAAAUAUUAUUAUCUAUAGGGGAUGAGGAGCGUGCACAAGGUUAAUGGCCCAUCUACGCUGCGGACCCAAUAGAUGUCAAAAAGGUUAUUUUUUUUUCCAGCCUAAAUGUGGUAACUGCAGACAGAGCUGCUAUCGCACUGUCUAUGGUUUCAUCCAGCAGACAGCAGGCAGACAUAAAGCUAUCUGAAAUAGCUGACGCUGUCACAAAGACAUCUACCACCUUCCUUCACUAUCCGACUGCUAAACGCAUUGCUUUUCAGUCUCAGAAACUUUAUUUUCCCUGGGAAGAUCCUAAGUGGAGAACGUGCUUAACUCAAGGCUCUACAGUUAGUAAUGGAUAAUCACUCUGCUCGCAAUCUCUGGUGCAGGAUUUCUGGAAUGCUCUCCAUGCAGCACAUCGCAGGCACACCUGUAACUUGUACACCUUCCAGCCUACCUAAAAACAUAGAGAGGCUCUCCAAAGGAGGAAAGGACCUGAACUGCUGCGGUGCUGGUUUCACAAGCUGCCUGGACAACUGCCUGCUGCGGUUGUCCCUAUCUGAACAGGGCUUGGGCCGUGGCAUGCUGUGCAGUUUCCCACCACGCGUGCAGGCUGGCCUCUCACAGCACGUACUCUCACCUGUGCCGUGGGUGGGAGCAGCUCACAAGCAUCUGUAAGCAGGAACGGGGCUGUGCUAGGGUGGCACUUCUAGCAUCCCGCUGGAACAUCAUUUAUUCUCUCCUGUUGGUUUUUGAUGCCCUCUUCUCUGCCAGAUAUUUAGCUGCACGUCCCAGCCAUCUUCCAGGCAGCUGCUGCCAAGAACACAGUCUUCUUGUUUGUACUGCUUCCUUUCCCAUUGAAUUGUGCCUGUCCAGGGCCCGCCCUGGGCUUUCCCUGGGGUGAAUGGCUCCAGUAGCAAUGGAACUGGAGGUGGGGCUCCAGCACAGUCCUGCAGGGCAGGGGCAGGUCCUGCAGAUGAAGUGCUGGUUGUUCACUCCCAUGACUCCCACGAGCGUCUGGGCUGACCUAAGCAGCCAUGCACCCCCCCGGAUGCUAAACAUCCAGAUCCACAUUCAUCCAAUAGAACUUUAAGUACAAAAGCCCACUCAAACUCAUCCUCUGGCCCUCACUGUAACACUGCUGAGAUAUCUGAGAUCUCAGUGAUGGUGACUUUUCCAUGCUAUUCCACAGGAAGAAAAAAAAGCAGAAAGAUGGGGACAGAAAGUUUGAGCUUCUUUCCAGGCUCCACAUUUUUUUGUGUCUUAUUUUUCUUUUUAAAGGUGGGAUUUUGAAAUAGGAGAGCAACGACUGAAGCUCACCAAUGCCCCUGGAGAGGUAACAAUCAGCUGUUUGACUUCUGAUAGCAGUGGAAGCAGGUGCAAUUCUUACUGCAUCUGUUACACCUCUGCAGGCGCUACUGCUGAAGCAUGCAGCAAAAAGCUCAGUCUUUCAGGCUGGUGACAGGAGGCUGAGAUGGACACAGAGUCACAACAACAGGGAUGCUUUAGAGGCAGGUAAGCAGUUUGCCAACUUCUGGAAGGAAGAGUGGAAAGCAUCUAAAUUAUACGAUAUUGGGUCUUCCCCAGCACUGCAUGAGCCUUGUCCCAGAGCCAGAUGCACCCGGUGGGAGUUCACACUGCAGGGAGACAUGCUUUUCUGUAGGAUGGUCCUCCCCUGAGACACCCCUGAAGGAUUAGUCAGACUCGCAUGCCUCAGGAGUAAAUGGGUACUGCAAAUACUGGAAGAAGAACAAAAAUAAAGCUGAGCAGAGCUGCAGCACAGGCCCAGGGAGCUGCCUGCAUGGCUGAGUGGGCCCAGGCUGUCCAUGAGGAGCCCUGCCUGGUGGGAAGGGAGCAGCUGGGAAGGGUCUGCCUGCAGCGUUCCUCAUGUUCAUCCCCUGCUCACCUGCAGAGCCCAGGGCUGUAGGGAGGUCCCUGCCCCUCGCUGCAACACCAGGGACAACCUGCCCUGCCUCUCACAAGGACAAGAGAAAAGGACAAGAGAAAAUGCCUGCAGCUGUCUUGCUCAUGGUGGGGUCCUGCAACAAUCCCAAGUAGCUACAUCACAGACAACACACCCAUGCUGUUUGUACAGCAGCAUCUCACAGAGCUCAGAGCCUGCUGCACUGAGUACAGACACAAGUGAUGCAUUGGAACAGGCUGCCCAGGGAGGUGGUGGGGUCAGCAUUCCUGGAGGUGCUCAGGGAAAGGGCAGAGGUGGUACUGAAUGAUGUGGUCUGGAAUGGGCACAGGCAUAGGUUAACAGCAAGACUGAAGGGUCGCAUAGAACUGUUGAGGCCGGACUAAUCAAUCAAUAAGUACAUGAACAAAAAAUGCUGUAGGUGCCAACAGGAAGAAUUAGUUCAGAACAGAAAAUAAUUUCCACAUCAUCCAUCUGAGGAGAAGGGGCCACAUCUGAAUGUUUGAACUGUGUGUAAACACUACAGCUAUGGCUGGAGAAGUAUGUUGAUAAAUCGCAUCUAUCCUGAGCAGGCCUGAGUGGUCUUUAGGCAGAGCAGGGCUGUUCAGUGGGACAGGAGAAUCAAUAUGGACUUUGUAAGUAGAAAGACUGCACAUAAGCAAGAUGAUUUACUUGCACAAAAUGCUAUUGUUUUAAAUGAAGCUCUGAACUCAGUAUUUUGAUAUCCAUAAAGAAUAAAACAGAAGUAAUUUUACCACCACAGGAAUGCACUGUUUUGGACUCAAAACCAACAAUGGUUCCCAGGCUUCCCUUCUGAGCCCCAGGAGGUACCAGCAGGCAUCUUCCCCACGAGAGGGGUUGUCAUCAUAAAGCAUUCAUUUGCUGAAAACAAAUAUAUUGGCUUCAACAAACUGGAAAAUGUUGGGAAUGGGACUGAAUCUGAGAGAAAAAGCUUAUAAUGAGCUUCUGGCCAUUCUGGGAUGCUUCUCCAGCCUGCUUUCUUUCUAAAAGAAAAUGAAAAUACAGAUCAUUUUAUCUAAACUUGGAAAUAAAAACUGGAAGCCUAUUUACUGUUUGUGAAGUGAUAUCCCUGAGCAAGGAACAGUGAGGACAAACCUGCAGCCGUGCCCAAACCAGCCCAGCCUUGUCUGCCUCUUUGGUCCAGGACAGGCAGAUGAGCUCCAUCACAUUUCAAAAGCACAGCGCUCUCAGCAGAGUGAUCCGCUCAAGCCUGCAUUUCAGAUGCAUUAUUUAAUGACAGCAGCAAGUUACAGCACAGCAGAUAAAUACUUGAUAAAUGAGAGUUUUGUGUUGGGGUGUGAGUUAGGAAAAUACCCCAAGCUUUCCACAGCCUUUGUGAAAGGAACAUGAGAAAAGUACUAAGGAGUAUUUCGGCAUUAAGAUUUGUUUUUUUCAGCAGGUUCUUGCUGCCUCUGGAGCCUGUGCAGCAGGGCCUGACCCACGAGCUUGCCUGCUGGUGCUGGCACACAGUGGUACCCAAGGAGAAAAGAAAAGCAUUCUCUCUGCUGCAGACAUGCAUCCCCCUUUUCGGGUUUCUCAGACAUCUGUCUGAUGCGUAUGAUGCAAUUUCCAUCCAUUUAAACAGCCCAUAGAUACGCUAUGAGUGGCUUCCCACACAAACUGUUUGAGGCACUCUGUUCAUGCAUGCCUGAGCAAACAUGUUAAGAGAAAAUAAGGAUUUUAGGAGGAAAAUAAGGAUUUAAGCAAACAGUUCUGCUCCUGAUUUGUGGCUGUGUAUAAAAAAAAACCAGUCAAAUCAAAAUCCCCUCCUCUCCUCCAUGUUAAUCUCUUUUCUUCUCUUGUAGAUUCUCAUCAAAUUGUCCUUGGUUGUGCAGUGGCUUCUUGUCAGCACAGCCAAGUUAGUCCCUAUGUAGCAUUUCAAGUAAAACAAUUUAAUGGCCCAUUGGCUAAAUGCUGACAAACCUACCUGGGAUGCAGUAGGAGGUAAGGACCGAGUGAAAUCUCAGUGUUAUCUCAUGUAACAGCAACCCUCGCAUUUUAGAGCAAGCUGUUUACUGACGUGGUAAAUAGCUCAAACUGUGUGAAACCUAUUUUAAUGCUUUGUGGCAUUAAGAUGUUCCUGAUACAGGGAUGUUACUUAGGUUUCAGUCGCUGGAUUUUGUGUCUGAGCCCACAGAAAGCAUUGCCUCUUUGCAGUGCCACUAAGGGAAAUAAUUUUUAGUGACACGCUUUUGUACAUCAAAUUCAGUAACACAGACCUAUCCUCUCUAUUGCUGCAGAUAAGAGUCAUUGGCAAGCACAUAAGAAAGUCAUAUCAUUAGCAGUCUUACAUGGUGCAAUUUGAAUGGUGCAAAUACCCACAAAGCACACAGGCCCACACACAGCUGCUUUUCGAUGGAAACAUGAUUAGGUGAUUGAAUUAUCAGCUCUACUCACUGCUAUGGCCCAGAGGUCACUGGAAGUGGUUACUUCUCAAAUCUCAUCAGCUGACAUUGCUGAUGCCAUUUUUACUCUAGUCAUCCAGCUACAUCUGGUCAUACCUGGAGGUUCAGCUCCUGGCAGCAAGCAGAGGGUUUCAGCAUCAGCCACAGAGGUAACACACGUUUCCAGCCCCUCCACAGAGUAGGUUUACUUUCCAAACAUCCCUUUGGAGAAUCCCUCUCCACCCAUUUCUCUGCAGGUCAAUCCCAAGAUGAGAGCCUGUAUUCUGAGCUCUAUCUUUAAAGCCACCCACCACAGCUGGCAGUCUGGUACAGUAGGUGUGAGAGAGACACAGC